GACGAACGCUGGCGGCGUGCUUUAUACAUGCAAGUCGAACGAUGAAGUUCCUUCGGGAAUGGAUUAGUGGCGAACGGGUGAGGAACACGUGAGAAACCUGCCUUUCAUUCUGGGAUAACACCGGGAAACCGGUGCUAAUACCGGAUACUCCGUCUUGGCAGCAUCGCCGAGCCGGGAAAAAAUUUUGAUGAAAGAUGGUCUCGCGGCCUAUCAGCUAGUUGGUGAGGUAAUGGCUCACCAAGGCGACGACGGGUAGCCGGCCUGAGAGGGCGACCGGCCACACUGGGACUGAGACACGGCCCAGACUCCUACGGGAGGCAGCAGUAGGGAAUAUUGCACAAUGGGCGCAAGCCUGAUGCAGCAACGCCGCGUGAGGGAUGACGGCCUUCGGGUUGUAAACCUCUUUUAGUAGGGAAGAAGCGAAAGUGACGGUACCUGCAGAAAAAGCACCGGCUAACUACGUGCCAGCCGCCGCCGUAA
rnacentral:rRNA from 1 species